rnacentral:rRNA from 1 species
CAAAAACCGACUCAGGUGGACGGGGUGAAUAUCCCAAGGCGCGUGAGAGAACCCUGGUUAAGGAACUCUGCAAAUUGACACCGUAACUUCGGGAGAAGGUGUGCCGCUGGCGGUUAGUGACUUCGCGUCACGAAGCUGUCGGUGGUCGCAGUGAAAUGGCGGUUGUGACUGUUUACUAAAAACACAGGACUCUGCGAAGUCGUAAGACGACGUAUAGGGUCUGAUGCCUGCCCGGUGCUGGAAGGUUAAGGGGAUAUGUCAGCGCAAGCGAAGCAUUGAACCGAAGCCCCAGUAAACGGCGGCCGUAACAAUAACGGUCCUAAGGUAGCGAAAUUCCUUGUCGGGUAAGUUCCGACCUGCACGAGGGCAUAACAACAUCCGCACUGUCUCGACCAGGGACUCAGCGAAAUUACAUUGGGGGUGAAGAUGCCCUCUACCCGCGGAAAGACGGAAAGACCCCAUGAACCUUUACUGCAACUUGGCAGUGAUUUUCGGGUUGUUCUGCGUAGGAUAGGUGGGAGGCUUUGAAGCCGGGCUUCCGGGUUCGGCAGAGCCAACGUUGAAAUACCACCCUGAAUAAUCUGGAAAUCUAACCUGCGCCCAUGAUCUGGGCGAGGGACACUGCCUGGUGGGCAGUUUGACUGGGGCGGUCGCCUCCUAAAUUGUAACGGAGGCGUGCGACGGUUCCCUCAGGCUGAUUGGAAACCAGCCGUAGAGUGCAAACGCAUAAGGGAGCUUUACUGCGAGACUGACAAGUCGAACAGUUGCGAAAGCAGGUGUUAGUGAUCCGGUGGUACCACAUGGAAGGGCCAUCGCUCAUCGGAUAAAAGGUACUCUGGGGAUAACAGGCUGAUCGCGCCUGAGAGUUCACAUCGGCGGCGCGGUUUGGCACCUCGAUGUCGGCUCAUCGCAUCCUGGGGCUGGAGCAGGUCCCAAGGGUUUGGCUGUUCGCCAAUUAAAGCGGUACGCGAGCUGGGUUUAAAACGUCGUGAGACAGUUUGGUCCCUAUCUUCCGUGGGCGCAGGACACUUGAGAGGAGCUAUCCAUAGUACGAGAGGACCUGGAUGGACGAACCUCUGGUGCUCCGGUUGUCACGCCAGUGGCAUAGCCGGGUAGCCAUGUUCGGAACAGAUAACCGCUGAAGGCAUAUAAGCGGGAAGCUGGCCUCAAGACUAGGUGUCCCUGACGCAAGUCACUAAAGGCCCCUCGAAGACUACGAGGUUGAUAGGCUCGGUGUGGAAGCGCUGCGAGGCGUGGAGCUAACGAGUACUAAUAGGCCGUGCGACUUGACCUC